rnacentral:rRNA from 1 species
UACAGAGGGUGCAAGCGUUAAUCGGAAUUACUGGGCGUAAGGCGUGCGCAGACGGUUGCGUAAGUCAGAUGUGAAAGCCCCGGGCUCAACCUGGGAAUUGCAUUUGAGACUGCGUAGCUAGGGUGCGGAAGAGGGAAGCGGAAUUUCCGGUGUAGCGGUGAAAUGCGUAGAUAUCGGAAGGAACACCAGUGGCGAAAGCGGCUUCCUGGUCCAGCACCGACGUCAGGCACGAAAGCGUGGGGAGCAAACAGG